rnacentral:rRNA from 1 species
UACAGAGGUCUCAAGCGUUGUUCGGAUUCAUUGGGCGUAAAGGGUGCGUAGGCGGCGCGGUAAGUCGGUGUGAAAUCUCGGGGCUUAACUCCGAAACUGCAUUCGAUACUGCCGUGCUUGAGGACUGGAGAGGAGACUGGAAUUUACGGUGUAGCGGUGAAAUGCGUAGAUAUCGUAAGGAAGACCAGUGGCGAAGGCGGGUCUCUGGACAGUUCCUGACGCUGGAGGCAACGAAGGCCAGGGGAGCAAACGGG